AAUAAGUAAUACUUAGAGAUGGACAUGUAGCUCAGUGGUGGAGCAUUUGCCCGGUAUUUGCAAAGUCUUGGGUUCCAUCCGCAAAGCUGUAUAAACCGGGCUUGGUGAUGCAUGCCUGUAAUCCCAGUAUUUGGGAGGCAGAGGCAAAAGGCUCAGAAGUUCAAAGACAUCCUUGGAAAUGUAGCAAGUUUGAGGCCAGUCUGGGAUACAGACUAUCUCUUCCUUACCUCCCAAAAGACACAAAAAAAAGAACUUAUAUUCAGUUGAAAAGAAGAAGAAAAAUGUGGUGGACAUUUCAUUAAAAUAUGGAUCAUACAUAGGAUGGCAAAACAUGGGAACCAGGCUUCUGAAUUUCCUCAGAUAAUACUGAAUUGUAGUUGAAUUGUGUAGUUUUUAUGUGUGUGUAAUUCUCUUCUGAUAUCUUAGUAAAUUAAGGCCUAGAAGUGAUUCCUCAGAAUUUGAGUCGACAUCAGCUAAUUAUUACAUUUUUACAGGUGUUGCAUACUAUUUUCUUUUAAAAUAGUUUUAUUCAUUCUUUUAGACUUUUAUACAGUGUAUAUUGAUCAUAUUUACCUCCAAUUCUUCACCCUAGAUACUUUGUAUGUAUGUAUUCUUUUUUCUCCCAGAUACUUAACUGGUUCGUACAAAUUUGUCUUGGAGUAAAUCACAUUCACAAGAAACGUGUGUUACACCGAGAUAUCAAGUCCAAAAAUGUCUUCCUCACCCAAAGUGGAAAAGUGAAACUGGGAGAUUUUGGCUCCGCCCAUCUUCUCUCCAGUCCCAUGGCCUUUGCAUGUACGUACGUGGGAACGCCUUAUUAUGUGCCUCCAGAAAUUUGGGAAAAUCUGCCCUAUAACAAUAAGAGGUGGGUAGUGUCCUUAUUUGGAUAGUGUUGGGCAUUUGGCGGGAGGGGCUGGAUUCUGGUGCAGAUGCACAGAGCUUAUUUGCUUAGAGAUUUUGUUUGAGUUAUCUCUUGAGUGUCUAUGUGAGUGUGUAUACAUGUGCCAUGGGCUGUGUAGAGAGGUCAGAGGACACCCUUUUGGAAAUUGGUUCUCCCACCUUGUUGAAGAGGGGGGCUACCUCUUUGGUCGUUUCUGCUGCUGCACUGCACACCCUGGGCCACCUGACCCACGAGCUUCUAGUCGGUGCUACUAUCUCUCUUUCCAUCUUGAGGCUGGAGUGCCGAGAUCACAGAUGUGUGCGCCUGACUUUCUUACGUGCAUUCUGAAGGUCAAAAUCAAAUGGCCAGUUUUGUGGGGCAAGUGUUUGACCAGCCGAGCCACCUUCCCCACUCUGCUUUCCAAAGAUCUGCUUGGGGCUUUGGUGUCUGCAGUUCAUGAGUAGAAUAAUUUUGCCUAGCACGUGUCUUGGAUUUGAUUACCAACAUCACAGAAGUAAAAUUUCAU